ACGCGAAAGGUUCCUUCCGGGGACCGAGUAGAGUGGCGUCCGGGUGAGUAACACGUGGGUAAUUUGCCUUCGGGUGGGGAAUAACACCUCGAAAGAGGUGCUAAUACCGCAUAAUGCAGCGGCACCUUAUGGUGACAGUUGUUAAAGCGGGGGAUCGCAAGACCUCGCGCCUGAAGAGAAGCCCGCGGCGGAUUAGCUAGUUGGUGGGGUAAUGGCCCACCAAGGCAACGAUCCGUAGCCGGCCUGAGAGGGCGGACGGCCACACUGACACUGACAUACGGGUCAGACUCCUACGGGAGGCAGCAGUCGGGAAUUUUGGGCAAUGGGCGAAAGCCUGACCCAGCAACGCCGCGUGAAGGAUGAAAUCCCUCGGGAUGUAAACUUCGCAAGAAUGGGAAGAAUAAGUGGGGGACAAUACCCCCCAUGAUGACGGUACCAUUUGUAAGCUCCGGCUAACUCCGUGCCAGCAGCCGCGGUAAUACGGGGGGAGCAAGCGUUGUUCGGAUUUACUGGGCGUAAAGGGCGCGUAGGCGGCCGUGACAAGUCACUUGUGAAAUCUCCGGGCUUAACUCGGAGCGGUCAAGUGAUACUGUCGGGCUAGAGUGCGGAAGGGGCAACUGGAAUUCUCGGUGUAGCGGUGAAAUGCGUAGAUAUCGAGAGGAACACCUGCGGCGAAGGCGGGUUGCUGGGCCGACACUGACGCUGAGGCGCGAAAGCCAGGGGAGCGAACGGGAUUAGAUACCCCCGGUAGUCCUGGGCUUAAACG
rnacentral:rRNA from 1 species